CGGUUUUCAACCUAGGGCAAUCGCAACAGCCGCCUCCAUCCUUGCGCUUCUCUAAACUUUUUGUCAUCGAUACCUUUAGAUCUCGCUUCUAUGGCGACGAAUCUUUUAUUUAUUGCUUCUGUUUGUGAUAGCGAGUCCUCCGAUCUACACAACGGUGUUGAUUUUCCAGCAAUUUAACCGUUUUAAGUCCUUUCAUCGGUAGAUCUGACGCAGAUCUCAUGAAACCUAUACUUCCUCUACGGAUCUGCCGGUGGGAUCAUCGCGUGAGGGGUGUCUAUGAUGCGAGUCGGUUGCGUUGAAGCGCUUUGAGGUUGAAUCGAAUUCGUUAUGGACGUGAAGCGGUGUUCUUGUGUGGGUUAAGUUAAAAUUAGGAUGUAGAAGAUGUUGAAUUGCAUCUUUUGUCAUCCGACCUUUGCCAUGUCAGGUGCGCUUGCAUGGCAGGUCAAAAACAGAUCCUUAAUAAAAAUAUAUAUUUUGUGGUUGGGAGGGGAGUUCGCACGGGUUAUUUUUUUUUAUCCCGGGUUCUCCUCUCCUUGUGUGCGUGUCUUGCUCUCGGCUUUCACACACUCUAUUUAUUAUUAUGCAUCACAACUCUAACAGAUAGUCAUGAAACACCCUUAAUACCAGAGCUAGCUAUCAACCUGGAGUUGUGUCAAUUUGUUUCUUCAUGCCCCAACAUUCAGGCACUCGUAAGUAUUUUUAAGACAAAUUAGUUUCUCAAAAGUAUAUCGCAAUCACUCUCAUACAAAGUUAUCAGCAUACCUGUUCUUAUUCAUUCCGUCUGUCAUGCAAUUUUACAAUUUUAUUGUUGUUCAGUUGUAUUGAUCUUAUCUAAUUAUAUUGUUUCUCUUUUGUUAAAGAAUUGACAAAUGCUUUUGAACAACUAGCUUUCCGAUCUAUACACAUGUAUAUUGUAUUUUUAUUACUCUUUAUCUGGUUUGAGGUGUAUAUUUUGAGAAUUUCUCAAGGCUAUGCUGUUACUCGAUAUUUGAUGUCUGAAGAAGCGUGGAGCAUGAUGAACACACUUGGAGCAUGGUGAAAACAAUAGUUAGGAAACACAGAUAUGUUUUAGUUAAUAUAAACCAAGCGAUGGACAAAAGCUUCUACGAAGAGAAGCCAAUUUGCCGAGUCAAACGAGCUCCAAAUCAGAAGCUGAUCUUGAAUCACAAGCUGAAGACUUCCAUUCACCAAAGGGCUACAAAGGUGCGAGUGUUGUCGUGUUAAUCUCAAAUCUCCUUGACCACAAACCAAGAAACGCAUCCACGUUGAUGAAGAGGCUAUAUUAUCAAGAGUGUGGUCUGUAAAAAAAAGAAGCAGAAGCUAUACCACUGGUUUUUCAAGCUCGAUGCAGAGAUAGAAUGCAGAAGAGGAAGAAGCUUGAGAGAAGUCAGAAAGAACAGAUUCAGGAGAGCCUGAUCAAGAACAACAACAAAGCCAGCUAGGUCUGUUCUUAAGGUCUUCUAAGUUGUAAAGUAUUUAGAAUCCUUCUUAAGGAUUCCGUUUCUUGCUAACAAUCACUGCUUAGGGAGGUUGAUUAUAAUAACAUGAAUCAAUGGAUUGUUAAAGAGGAGCUGACCUGUGUUCUGAGACUUGAAGUUACCUUACUGCUUCGUUGCAACACGAAAUGUGCCAGGAGUCUCAUUCAUCGAUUGAACUUCCAUUUUUUUCAGGACCAGAGGAAGGAAAGUUGCAUUCAAUCCAUUGGGGAUGUAUCCGUUACUAAAAGUUGGAUACAUCAAUCGACCUUUUAACAAGCCAAGCAACGAUGUAAAAUUCUGAAGUGAACCCAUACUCGGUCCUGCCGUUAUGUUACUAUCUAUAUGUGUUCAAAUAAAUAUUUUAUAUCAUCUCUUGUUAGAGAAAUCAACAAUUUAUCCCUACUCAAAAGUAAUUAUUGUUGUAUAAUAAAAGCUGAGGUUUAGUUUA